GAUGAACGCUGGCGGCGUGCCUAAUACAUGCAAGUCGAGCGAACGGACGAGAAGCUUGCUUCUCUGAUGUUAGCGGCUGACGGGUGAGUAACACGUGGAUAACCUACCUAUAAGACUGGGAUAACUUCGGGAAACCGGCGCUAAUACCGGAUAUUAUUUUGAACCGCAUUGUUCAAAAGUGAAAGACGGUCUUACUGUCACUUAUAGAUGGAUCCGCGCUGCAUUAGCUAGUUGGUAAGGUAACGGCUUACCAAGGCAACGAUGCAUAGCCGACCUGAGAGGGUGAUCGGCCACACUGGAACUGAGACACGGUCCAGACUCCUACGGGAGGCAGCAGUAGGGAAUCUUCCGCAAAGGGCGAAAGCCUGACGGAGCAACGCCGCGUGAGUGAUGAAGGUCUUCGGAUCGUAAAACUCUGUUAUUAGGGAAGAACAUAUGUGUAAGUAACUGUGCACAUCUUGACGGUACCUAAUCAGAAAGCCACGGCUAACUACGUG
rnacentral:rRNA from 1 species